GAUGAACGCUGGCGGCGUGCCUAAUACAUGCAAGUCGAGCGAACAGAUGAGGAGCUUGCUCCUCUGACGUUAGCGGCGGACGGGUGAGUAACACGUGGAUAACCUACCUAUAAGACUGGGAUAACUUCGGGAAACCGGAGCUAAUACCGGAUAAUAUAUUGAACCGCAUGGUUCAAUAGUGAAAGACGGUUUUGCUGUCACUUAUAGAUGGAUCCGCGCCGCAUUAGCUAGUUGGUAAGGUAACGGCUUACCAAGGCAACGAUGCGUAGCCGACCUGAGAGGGUGAUCGCCCACACUGGACCUGAGACCCGGUCCGGACCCUUAGGGGAGGCAGAGGAAGGAAAUCUUCGGAAAUGGGGGAAAGCUUGCGGGAGCAACGCGGGGGGGGUGAUGAAGUUUUCCGGAUCGUAAAACCCUUUUAUUGGGGAAAAAAAAAUUUGUAGUAACUAUGCACGUCUUGACGGUACCUAAUCAGAAAGCCACGGCUAACUACGUG
rnacentral:rRNA from 1 species